rnacentral:rRNA from 1 species
GACCUGAGGUGAAAGUGGGGACCGCAAGCCCCAACGCAGCAGGAGCGGCCGAUGUCUGAUUAGCUAGUUGGUGGGGUAAAAGCCUACCAAGGCGACGAUCAGUAGCUGGUCUGAGAGGAUGAUCAGCCACACUGGGACUGAGACACGGCCCAGACUCCUACGGGAGGCAGCAGUGGGGAAUUUUGGACAAUGGGCGAAAGCCUGAUCCAGCCAUGCCGCGUGAGUGAAGAAGGCCUUCGGGUUGUAAAGCUCUUUCGCAAGGAAAGAAAACUUAUCUAUUAAUAUUA